rnacentral:lncRNA from 1 species
AGCCGCCUCUGCGGCCCCCUUUUGCCAGCCCUGACAAGGGCUCUCAGCAAGGUGCCGGCAGCGGGCUCGGGCCUCCCGGGGCGAAGACUCCAAUUCCCUGAGGCUCCGUGGGAUGAGAGAAAGCUACAGGCUGGAGGGUUCUUCCAAGAAGCCACCAGCCUCAAGCCACUCGCUUUUUUGGAGGGCAAGGUUCGAUCCAAAGUAGCCCCCAAAGCCUCCAGAGCACUAGGUGGUCCAAGAACUGACACCCAGAUCAACGAUCUCUCCUCCGCACCAGCCCCUUGCAGAAAGGUACAAAUCGGGGUGCAAAAUGGCCGUCACAUGUUACCUGCAUGCUGUCUCCCAAUAACAAGAGCGGGGCACUUUCUUCCAAACCAGUGGAAUGUAAAGCAGGAUGGUUCCGCCACUUAUCCCUGCCUGGCCCAUAACCCAAGACUCUUCGCACUCUCAGG